rnacentral:tRNA from 1 species
GGAGAGGUCGCAUAGUGGUCUAGUGCACCGCCUUGGAAAGGCGGCAUACCGCAAGGUAUCGUGGGUUCAAAUCCCACCCUCUCCGCCA